GGCCUCUUGAGAUUGGGUCUGGAGAGUGGCUAGUAUUCCGCCAGCUCCAGAAGCGUGAGGGAGAGCAGCUGAGCAGAGGUACCCAUCUAUUCCCACUUUGCUCAGUAGCUGGUGAUGGGAAGACACUCUGCAGCAUCA